GCUCAUUCCCACUUCCCCAUAGAUCCUGUCUUUUCAUUUCACAUUUCACAAAGCACAAACCGUCCUCUGCUUUCUUUCCGAUUUAGGGUUUCUUACUCAUCCCUGUCUUUCUUUCUCUCUCUCUCUCUACAAACCCAUUUGUGAAAGCGAAAAGUAGUGAUUGUUGGUAGAUGGAGUUCUGAUUUUUAUCCCCAGCCGACCUCUCUUUCCCCUCAAAUCGCACAACCCUGAGACGAUCGACCAUCACUACUGUUGCGUUUGAGAAGACCACUGCCGCCGCCGGAUGUACAGGUCGCCACCGCUAGCCUGAUGUCGUUUAUUUCAGAAGAUAGGGGUUGUAUUCUUAUUUUGUCGUUGUGAUUCUACCAUCAUUUACCUUUAACAAGGUGCAGACACUAAAAAUCGGAGUCUCUGUAGGUAGGCUAGGGUUUGGUAUCAUAUGUUUUUUGAAGGCGAGAAGUUAUACUGUGAUAUUCAAGGCCUCUCAUGUUCUUCAGGUCAGUGUUUAUCAA